rnacentral:snRNA from 1 species
ACUUCAUCUCGGCCUUUUGGCUAAGAGCAAGUGUAGCAUCUGUUCUUGUCAAUUUAAAUAGCACGAGAAAAGAAAGGAAAAUAA